rnacentral:rRNA from 1 species
UGGCACCUCGAUGUCGGCUCAUCGCAUCCUGGGGCUGGAGAAGGUCCCAAGGGUCUGGCUGUUCGCCAGUUAAAGCGGUACGCGAGCUGGGUUCAGAACGUCGUAAGACAGUUCGGUCCUUAUCCGUCGUGGGCGUAGGGUAUUUGAGAGGGCUUGUCCUUAGUACGCAAGGACCGGGAUGAGCAAACCGCUAGUGUUCCAGUUGUUCUCCAAGAGCAACGCUGGGUAGCUACGUUUGUAAGAGAUAACCGCUGAAAGCAUCUAAGUGGGAAACUCGCCUCGAGAUUAGAUACCCCGUACUCGAUUAAAUUGAAUGAAGGCUUCGGCCCGAUUUCAGUGGCGUUGAGUACAUUAAUAAGACUCCUUGAAGACUACAAGGUUGAUAGGCUGGGUGUGUAAGCACAGUAAUGUGUUCAGCUAACCAGUACUAAUAAGUCGAAUGUUUUAACCUAUUUAAAUUA